rnacentral:snoRNA from 1 species
CUUCCCAUUUGACUACCACAUUUCUCCUACUAGUAGAUUUUACUAUACUUGUGGGAUAGAGUAAAAUUGCCGUGAUCUGCAGAGGCAGGAUUUCUUUGC